UAGCUGCUGGGGAUGUAACCUGUU
rnacentral:misc_RNA from 1 species